UCGAGAACAAGGAGAAGACCCCAUCCCGAUGCAAACAAAGACUCGACUGAUCGACAAGGAGGAAAGCUUCCCCAAUGCCACCUCUACGCUUUCACAACCUCGUUAAGAGCAGGGGGAAAACCCUCACUCAAAAAUGAAAGAGAAAGGAGAAGAUGAAAAAGAAAAGCCAAUGAACUACUUCUACGACAAAUAAAAACAAACUAC
rnacentral:lncRNA from 1 species